rnacentral:rRNA from 1 species
UACGGAGGGUGCGAGCGUUGUCCGGAAUCACUGGGCGUAAAGGGCGCGUAGGCGGCCUGGUAAGUAGGGGGUGAAAUCCUGCGGCUUAACCGCAGGGCUGCCUUCUAAACUGUCAGGCUCGAGCACGGUAGAGGCAGAUGGAAUUCCCGGUGUAGCGGUGGAAUGCGUAGAGAUCGGGAAGAACAUCAGUGGCGAAGGCGGUCUGCUGGGCCGACACUGACGCUGAUGCGCGAAAGCCAGGGGAGCGAACGGG